CUUAAAGCUAAGGAAAGGGAGGCAUCUAGCACUGGGUUCACCUCUCUGUGGGGUGAAAAUUUCUGGACUGGUAACCUUAAAAAGGUGAGUUGUAAACCCCUUUGAAAAAUCUUUAGAACCCAUUUGUCUGAAGAAAUAUCCUUCCAAUUUAGUGGCAUAUGAGGAGACACACUUACUUGAAUGCAUGUGUUUUCUUUUGGAAGCUGAAC